AGUGAACGCUGGCGGUAGGCCUAACACAUGCAAGUCGAACGGCAGCACAGUGAGAGCUUGCUCUUACGGGUGGCGAGUGGCGGACGGGUGAGGAAUACAUCGGAAUCUACUUUUUCGUGGGGGAUAACGUAGGGAAACUUACGCUAAUACCGCAUACGACCUACGGGUGAAAGCAGGGGAUCUUCGGACCUUGCGCGAUUGAAUGAGCCGAUGUCGGAUUAGCUAGUUGGCGGGGUAAAGGCCCACCAAGGCGACGAUCCGUAGCUGGUCUGAGAGGAUGAUAAGCCACACUGGAACUGAGACACGGUCCAGACUCCUACGGGAGGCAGCAGUGGGGAAUAUUGGACAAUGGGCGCAAGCCUGAUCCAGCCAUACCGCGUGGGUGAAGAAGGCCUUCGGGUUGUAAAGCCCUUUUGUUGGGAAAGAAAAGCAGCAGGUUAAUACCCCGCUGUUCUGACGGUACCCAAAGAAUAAGCACCGGCUAACUUCGUG
rnacentral:rRNA from 1 species